AGAGUUUGAUCCUGGCUCAGAGCGAACGCUGGCGGCAGGCCUAACACAUGCAAGUCGAACGAAGUCUUCGGACUUAGUGGCGGACGGGUGAGUAACACGUGGGAACGUGCCUUUAGGUUCGGAAUAACUCAGGGAAACUUGUGCUAAUACCGAAUGUGCCCUUCGGGGGAAAGAUUUAUCGCCUUUAGAGCGGCCCGCGUCUGAUUAGCUAGUUGGUGAGGUAAAGGCUCACCAAGGCGACGAUCAGUAGCUGGUCUGAGAGGAUGAUCAGCCACAUUGGGACUGAGACACGGCCCAAACUCCUACGGGAGGCAGCAGUGGGGAAUCUUGCGCAAUGGGCGAAAGCCUGACGCAGCCAUGCCGCGUGAAUGAUGAAGGUCUUAGGAUUGUAAAAUUCUUUCACCGGGGACGAUAAUGACGGUACCCGGAGAAGAAGCCCCGGCUAACUUCGUGCCAGCAGCCGCGGUAAUACGAAGGGGGCUAGCGUUGCUCGGAAUUACUGGGCGUAAAGGGAGCGUAGGCGGACAUUUAAGUCAGGGGUGAAAUCCCGGGGCUCAACCUCGGAAUUGCCUUUGAUACUGGGUGUCUUGAGUGUGAGAGAGGUAUGUGGAACUCCGAGUGUAGAGGUGAAAUUCGUAGAUAUUCGGAAGAACACCAGUGGCGAAGGCAAUCCCCUGGGCCUGCACUGACGCUCAUGCACGAAAGCGUGGGGAGCAAACAGGAUUAGAUACCCUGGUAGUCC
rnacentral:rRNA from 1 species